rnacentral:rRNA from 1 species
UACGUAGGGGGCAAGCGUUACUCGGAAUUACUGGGCGUAAAGCGUGCGUAGGUGGUGAGUUAAGUCUGUCGUGAAAGCCCCGGGCUCAACCUGGGAAUGGCGAUGGAUACUGGCUCGCUAGAGUGCGGUAGAGGAGAGUGGAAUUCCCGGUGUAGCAGUGAAAUGCGUAGAGAUCGGGAGGAACAUCAGUUGCGAAGGCGGCUCUCUGGACCAGCACUGACACUGAGGCACGAAAGCGUGGGGAGCAA